CCUACGGGUGGCUGCAGUGGGGAAUAUUGGACAAUGGGGGCAACCCUGAUCCAGCCAUGCCGCGUGUGUGAAGAAGGCCCUCGGGUUGUAAAGCACUUUCAGUGAGGAAGAACGCCUGGUGGUUAAUACCCAUCAGGAAAGACAUCACUCACAGAAGAAGCACCGGCUAACUCCGUGCCAGCAGCCGCGGUAAUACGGAGGGUGCGAGCGUUAAUCGGAAUUACUGGGCGUAAAGCGCGCGUAGGUGGCUUGAUAAGCCGGUUGUGAAAGCCCCGGGCUCAACCUGGGAACGGCAUCCGGAACUGUCAAGCUAGAGUGCAGGGGAGGAAGGUAGAAUUCCCGGUGUAGCGGUGAAAUGCGUAGAGAUCGGGAGGAAUACCAGUGGCGAAGGCGGCCUUCUGGACUGACACUGACACUGAGGUGCGAAAGCGUGGGUAGCAAACAGGAUUAGAUACCCUUGUAGUC
rnacentral:rRNA from 1 species